rnacentral:rRNA from 1 species
GCCUGUUUAUCAAAAACAUCGCCUCCUGCAGUAUAAAGUAUAGGAGGUCCAGCCUGCCCAGUGACUACGGGUUCAACGGCCGCGGUAUAUUGACCGUGCAAAGGUAGCGCAAUCACUUGUCUCUUAAAUAGAGACCUGUAUGAAUGGCUAGACGAGGGCUUAACUGUCUCCCCCUUCCAGUCAGUGAAAUUGAUCUAUCCGUGCAGAAGCGGGUAUAGUUCUACAAGACGAGAAGACCCUUUGGAGCUUAAGGUACAAAAUUCACCCAUGUUAAACAACUCCAUAGAAAGCAAGAACUUUAUGGGUAUGAAACUUUACCUUCGGUUGGGGCGACCACGGAGGAAAAACAAGCCUCCGAGUGGACUGGGCCAAAAUCCCUAAAGCUGAAAGAGACAUCUUUAAGCCGCAGAACAUCUGACCAAUAAUGAUCCGGCUAAAAAGCCGAUCAACGGACCAAGUUACCCUAGGGAUAACAGCGCAAUCCUCUCCCAGAGCCCAUAUCGACGAGGGGGUUUACGACCUCGAUGUUGGAUCAGGACAUCCUGGUGGUGCAGCCGCUAUUAAGGGUUCGUUUGUUCAACGAUUAAAGUCCUACGUGAUCUGAGUUCAGACCGG